rnacentral:rRNA from 1 species
CCGGGUGGAUGAGUGGCGAACGGGUGAGUAACACGUGAGUAACCUGCCCCCGACUUCGGGAUAAGCCCGGGAAACUGGGUCUAAUACCGGAUAUGAGCGUUCCUCGCAUGAGGGAUGCUGGAAAGUCUUUUCGGUUGGGGAUGGGCUCGCGGCCUAUCAGUUUGUUGGUGAGGUAAUGGCUCACCAAGACGACGACGGGUAGCCGGCCUGAGAGGGCGACCGGCCACACUGGGACUGAGACACGGCCCAGACUCCUACGGGAGGCAGCAGUGGGGAAUAUUGCACAAUGGGGGAAACCCUGAUGCAGCGACGCAGCGUGCGGGAUGACGGCCUUCGGGUUGUAAACCGCUUUCAGCAGGGAAGAAGCCUUUCGGGGUGACGGUACCUGCAGAAGAAGUACCGGCUAACUACGUGCCAGCAGCCGCGGUAAUACGUAGGGUACAAGCGUUGUCCGGAAUUAUUGGGCGUAAAGAGCUCGUAGGUGGUUGGUCACGUCUGCUGUGGAAACGCAACGCUUAACGUUGCGCGUGCAGUGGGUACGGGCUGACUAGAGUGCAGUAGGGGAGUCUGGAAUUCCUGGUGUAGCGGUGAAAUGCGCAGAUAUCAGGAGGAACACCGGUGGCGAAGGCGGGACUCUGGGCUGUAACUGACACUGAGGAGCGAAAGCAUGGGGAGCGAACAGGAUUAGAUACCCCUGGUAGUCCAUGCGUAACGUUUGGGCACUAGUGUGGGGACAUUCCACGUUCUCCG